rnacentral:rRNA from 1 species
AUUGAACGCUGGCGGCAGGCCUAACACAUGCAAGUCGAGCGGAUGAAGGGAGCUUGCUCCUGGAUUCAGCGGCGGACGGGUGAGUAAUGCCUAGGAAUCUGCCUGGUAGUGGGGGAUAACGUCCGGAAACGGGCGCUAAUACCGCAUACGUCCUGAGGGAGAAAGUGGGGGAUCUUCGGACCUCACGCUAUCAGAUGAGCCUAGGUCGGAUUAGCUAGUUGGUGGGGUAAAGGCCUACCAAGGCGACGAUCCGUAACUGGUCUGAGAGGAUGAUCAGUCACACUGUAAGUGAGACACGUCCCAGACUCCUACGGUAGGCAGCAGUGGGGAAUAUUGGACAAUGGGCGAAAGCCUGAUCCAGCCAUGCCGCGUGUGUGAAGAAGGUCUUCGGAUUGUAAAGCACUUUAAGUUGGGAGGAAGGGCAGUAAGUUAAUACCUUGCUGUUUUGACGUUACCAACAGAAUAAGCACCGGCUAACUUCGUG